CCGUAGCCCAACGAGAUAGGGAGUAACAACCUGGAAACAAGAUGCUAAUACCGGAUAACAACAGAUGAUGCCUAUCAACUGUUUAAAAGAUGGUUCUGCUAUCACUCUUGGAUGGACCUGCGGUGCAUUAGCUAGUUGGUAGGGUAACGGCCUACCAAGGCGAUGAUGCAUAGCCGAGUUGAGAGACUGAUCGGCCACAUUGGGACUGAGACACGGCCCAAACUCCUACGGGAGGCAGCAGCC
rnacentral:rRNA from 1 species